rnacentral:rRNA from 1 species
UCGAGAAUCAUUUGCAAUGGGCGAAAGCCUGACAAUGCGACGCCGUGUGAGCGAAGAAGGCCUUAGGGUUGUAAAGCUCUUUCGCUUGGGAACAAGAGAUGCUUAUGAAUAAUAGGCAAAUUUGAUGGUACCAGGUAAAGAAGCACCGGCUAACUCCGUGCCAGCAGCUGCGGUAAUACGGAGGGUGCAAGCAUUAAUCGGAAUUACUGGGCGUAUAGGGCGCGUAGGCGGUUUUGUAAGUUAGAUGUGAAAUACUGGGGCUCAACCUCAGUGCUGCAUUUAAGACUGCAAGGCUAGAGGAUGGAUGGGGAAAACGGAAUUCCACGUGUAGCGGUGAAAUGCGUAGAUAUGUGGAAGAACACCGGUGGCGAAGGCGGUUUUCCAAUUUAUUCCUGACGCUGAGGCGCGAAAGCAAGGGGAGCAAACAGGAUUAGAUACCCCCGUAGUCC